rnacentral:misc_RNA from 1 species
GGGAAAGGUUCUGUACUCGAAGGUCUUCAUGGCUGGGAGCUCAGACCAACCUUUCGGGGGCCUCGUUUUCCUCGUUGGAUGGAGAAUGGCGUGUCCUCUUUCAACCAGUUCAUUCACGAACUUUCUGUGGACUCUGAUGAUUCAAGCUUAGAUUAUUCCUCUGGGGAGGAAGAUGGUUUUGGAAAUGAAUAUCCUGCAACACCAUCAUCUCAGGGUUCAC